rnacentral:rRNA from 1 species
GACGAACGCUGGCGGCGUGCUUAACACAUGCAAGUCGAACGAAAAGAGGGAAAGAGCUUGCUCUUUCCGGAAUUGAGUGGCAAACGGGUGAGUAACACGUAAACAACCUGCCUUCAGGAUGGGGACAACAGACGGAAACGACUGCUAAUACCGAAUAAGUUCCAAGAGCCGCAUGGCCCAUGGAAGAAAAGGUGGCCUCUACCUGUAAGCUAUCGCCUGAAGAGGGGUUUGCGUCUGAUUAGCUGGUUGGAGGGGUAACGGCCCACCAAGGCGACGAUCAGUAGCCGGUCUGAGAGGAUGAACGGCCACAAUGGAACUGAGACACGGUCCAGACUCCUACGGGAGGCAGCAGUGGGGAAUCUUCCGCAAUGGGCGAAAGCCUGACGGAGCAACGCCGCGUGAGGGAUGACGGCCUUCGGGUUGUAAAACUCUGUGAUCCGGGACGAAAAGGCAGAGUGCGAAGAACAAACUGCAUUGACGGUACCGGAAAAGCAAGCCACGGCUAACUACGUG